AUGCAGUGCCUGCGUGAGGGGGUUGUAGGCAGCGAUCUGGUCGGUGGCAUUGUUGACGAGGACGACGUAGCCGCCGUGGAAGCUCUGCAGCUCCCACCCGAGGGUGGAGUCGCCGCUGUCUUCUGGGAUCCGGGUGAGGAGGAAAUCGGCGCCGCGGACGGCGGCGGCGAUGUCCGGGUCGGAGCGGCUGCGGAGGGGGACGAAGGGAGGGACGGCUUCGCGGCCGGGGUCGCAAAAGAAGCCAAGGAUCUGCGGCGGGUGGAGCGCCCGGAAUCUGCGGCGGAAGGCGGGGGACGAACGGACGGCGUGGAGGAAGGCGCGGCACGCGAGGGCGGCGCGGACGAGGCUCGGGAGGGAGGGAAGGAGGAGGAAGAUCUCGCAAAGGAGGUCGUCGCCGAUAGCGGUAAUGGUGGUGGGCGCCGUCGGCGGGCGUUUCGCCGGCGGCGGUUGCCCGAGAUCGGAGGCCAUGGCGGCGGAGAAGACGAGAGACGAGCGGCAGGGGCAGCGGCAGCGGGCCUUGUCCAUGUAUAG
rnacentral:rRNA from 1 species